GAUGAACGCUGGCGGCGUGCCUAAUACAUGCAAGUCGAGCGAACAGAUGAGGAGCUUGCUCCUCUGACGUUAGCGGCGGACGGGUGAGUAACACGUGGAUAACCUACCUAUAAGACUGGGAUAACUUCGGGAAACCGGAGCUAAUACCGGAUAAUAUAUUGAACCGCAUGGUUCAAUAGUGCAAGACGGCUUUGCUGUCACUUAUAGAUGGAUCCGCGCCGCAUUAGCUAGUUGGUAAGGUAACGGCUUACCAAGGCAACGAUGCGUAGCCGACCUGAGAGGAUGAUCGGCCACACUGGAACUGAGACACGGUCCAGACUCCUACGGGAGGCAGCAGUAGGGAAUCUUCCGCAAUGGGCGAAAGCCUGACAGAGCAACGCCGCGUGAGUGAUGAAGGUCUUCGGAUCGUAAAACUCUGUUAUUAGGGAAGAACAAAUGUGUAAGUAACUAUGCACGUCUUGACGGUACCUAAUCAGAAAGCCACGGCUAACUACGUG
rnacentral:rRNA from 1 species